rnacentral:tRNA from 1 species
AGAAUUUUAAGUUAAAGGAAACUAUAAGUUUUCAAAACUUAUUAUAUGUAAAAAAUUACUUAAAUUCUG